CAGUCGCCGCGGGAAUACAGAGGGUGCAAGCGUUAAUCGGAUUUACUGGGCGUAAAGGGCGCGUAGGUGGUUAUGUAAGUGAGAUGUGAAAUCCCCGGGCUCAACCUGGGAACUGCAUCUUAUACUGCGUAGCUGGAGUGCAGUAGAGGGUAGUGGAAUUUCUGGUGUAGUGGUGAAAUGCGUAGAUAUCGGAAGGAACACCAGUGGCGAAGGCGACUCUCUGGUCUGUAACUGACGCUGAGGAGCGAAAGCGUGGGGAGCGAACAGGAUUAGAUACCCCUGUAGUCCCUGUCUCUUAUAC
rnacentral:rRNA from 1 species